rnacentral:rRNA from 1 species
AGCGAACGCUGGCGGCAGGCUUAACACAUGCAAGUCGAGCGGGCCCUUCGGGGUCAGCGGCGGACGGGUGAGUAACGCGUGGGAACGUGCCUUCUGGUCUGGAAUAACCCUGGGAAACUAGGGCUAAUACCGGAUACGCCCUUUUGGGGAAAGGUUUACUGCCGGAAGAUCGGCCCGCGUCUGAUUAGCUGGUUGGUGGGGUAACGGCCUACCAAGGCGACGAUCAGUAGCUGGUCUGAGAGGAUGAUCAGCCACACUGGGACUGAGACACGGCCCAGACUCCUACGGGAGGCAGCAGUGGGGAAUAUUGGACAAUGGGCGCAAGCCUGAUCCAGCCAUGCCGCGUGAGUGAUGAAGGCCUUAGGGUUGUAAAGCUCUUUUAUCCGGGACGAUAAUGACGGUACCGGAGGAAUAAGCCCCGGCUAACUUCGUG